rnacentral:rRNA from 1 species
GCUGCGCGGCGUGCCUAAUACUGCACGUCGAACGCUUCUUUCCUCCCGAGUGCUUGCACUCAAUUGGAAAGAGGAGUGGCGGACGGGUGAGUAACACGUGGGUAACCUACCCAUCAGAGGGGGAUAACACUUGGAAACAGGUGCUAAUACCGCAUAACAGUUUAUGCCGCAUGGCAUAAGAGUGAAAGGCGCUUUCGGGUGUCGCUGAUGGAUGGACCCGCGGUGCAUUAGCUAGUUGGUGAGGUAACGGCUCACCAAGGCCACGAUGCAUAGCCGACCUGAGAGGGUGAUCGGCCACACUGGGACUGAGACACGGCCCAGACUCCUACGGGAGGCAGCAGUAGGGAAUCUUCGGCAAUGGACGAAAGUCUGACCGAGCAACGCCGCGUGAGUGAAGAAGGUUUUCGGAUCGUAAAACUCUGUUGUUAGAGAAGAACAAGGACGUUAGUAACUGAACGUCCCCUGACGGUAUCUAACCAGAAAGCCACGGCUAACUACGUGCCAGCAGCCGCGGUAAUACGUAGGUGGCAAGCGUUGUCCGGAUUUAUUGGGCGUAAAGCGAGCGCAGGCGGUUUCUUAAGUCUGAUGUGAAAGCCCCCGGCUCAACCGGGGAGGGUCAUUGGAAACUGGGAGACUUGAGUGCAGAAGAGGAGAGUGGAAUUCCAUGUGUAGCGGUGAAAUGCGUAGAUAUAUGGAGGAACACCAGUGGCGAAGGCGGCUCUCUGGUCUGUAACUGACGCUGAAGCUCGAAAGCGUGGGGAGCA